AUGAUUUUAGUGCUUGCACUAAAUGAAACUAGAUACAAGCGAGCGGCGGACGGGUGAGUAACACGUGGGUAACCUGCCCAAGAGACUGGGAUAACACCUGGAAACAGAUGCUAAUACCGGAUAACAACACUAGACGCAUGUCUAGAGUUUGAAAGAUGGUUCUGCUAUCACUCUUGGAUGGACCUGCGGUGCAUUAGCUAGUUGGUAAGGUAACGGCUUACCAAGGCAAUGAUGCAUAGCCGAGUUGAGAGACUGAUCGGCCACAUUGGGACUGAGACACGGCCCAAACUCCUACGGGAGGCAGCAGUAGGGAAUCUUCCACAAUGGACGAAAGUCUGAUGGAGCAACGCCGCGUGAGUGAAGAAGGGUUUCGGCUCGUAAAGCUCUGUUGGUAGUGAAGAAAGAUAGAGGUAGUAACUGGCCUUUAUUUGACGGUAAUUACUUAGAAAGUCACGGCUAACUACGUGCCAGCAGCCGCGGUAAUACGUAGGUGGCAAGCGUUGUCCGGAUUUAUUGGGCGUAAAGCGAGUGCAGGCGGUUCAAUAAGUCUGAUGUGAAAGCCUUCGGCUCAACCGGAGAAUUGCAUCAGAAACUGUUGAACUUGAGUGCAGAAGAGGAGAGUGGAACUCCAUGUGGUUAAGG
rnacentral:rRNA from 1 species